rnacentral:rRNA from 1 species
UCUUUUAAUUGAAGGCUCGUAUGAAUGGUCGGACAAAAAGUAAGCUGUCUUCAAUUAUAAAAAUUGAAUUUGACUUUUAAGUGAAAAGGCUUAAAUAUAACAAAGUGACGAUAAGACCCUAUAAAGCUUUAUAGUGUAGUUUUUUAUUAUAAAUUAUUAAAUUGUAUAACUUAAUUUAAAAUAAAGCUUUUUCGUUGGGGCGACGAAAAUAUAAUUAAAAUAACUGUUUUUGUUUUUAUAACAAAUAUAUUUGGUUUAAAUAAAUGAUCCUUUAUUAGAGAUUAAAAGAUUAAGUUACUUUAGGGAUAACAGCGUAAUCUUCUUUGAGAGUUCAUAUCGACAAGAAGGGUUGCGACCUCGAUGUUGAAUUAAGGUUCCUUUAUGGUGUAGCAGUUAUAAUUGGAGGUCUGUUCGACCUUUAAAUCCUUACAUGAUUU